rnacentral:rRNA from 1 species
AUUGAACGCUGGCGGCAUGCUUUACACACGCAAGUCGAACGGUAACAGGGUGCUUGCACCGCUGACGAGUGGCGAACGGGUGAGUAAUGCGUCGGAACGUGCCGAGUAGUGGGGGAUAACGCAGCGAAAGUUGUGCUAAUACCGCAUACGUACUGAGGUAGAAAGUGGGGGACCUUCGGGCCUCACGCUAUUCGAGCGGCCGACGUCUGAUUAGCUAGUAGGUGAGGUAAAGGCGCACCUAGGCGACGAUCAGUAGCGGGUCUGAGAGGAUGAUCCGCCACACUGGGACUGAGACACGGCCCAGACUCCUACGGGAGGCAGCAGUGGGGAAUUUUGGACAAUGGGCGAAAGCCUGAUCCAGCCAUGCCGCGUGUCUGAAGAAGGCCUUCGGGUUGUAAAGGACUUUUGUCAGGGAGGAAAUCCCUAGUGCUAAUAACACUGGGGGAUGACAGUACCUGAAGAAUAAGCACCGGCUAACUACGUGCCAGCCGCCGCAGUAA